GGAAGAUCGCCGAGUACUAAUGACAGUGGCAAAGAAUCUGGUAUAUGCUGAUUCAGAUGAAACAUUUCAAGAUGAAUGGAAUUGCUUUUGUCAGACCCCAGAAGCCCAAAAGUAUAACCAGUACAUGAGGUAUCUGGCAAAGCUGAUAGAAAGGAAGGAAGAAUGGAGUACUGUGUACAGGGCUGGAUUUUUGCUACGUGGACACCACACAAAUAAUUUUGCAGAAUCUACCAUGUGCAUCAUUAAAGAUAUCAUUCUCAACAGAUGUAAAGCCUACAACACGACUCAACUGAUCAUGUUUAUGAAUGAAAUAUUUGAUGAAUAUAUGAAACAACGCCUCAUUGAUGUGUCUCUCUGUAGAAGGAAAGUAGUGAAGCCACCAACUGGGAUUUCCAUUAGUAAGGAAAGCAUCACUAGGUAUAAUGAAGAUCAGCAUCAGUUCAUAGUUAAAAGCCAGUCAAAGGAACAAAUACAGUAUACUGUAGAUCUUAAAAUUGGCUUGUGCGAGUGCAGUACUGGUAUGACUGGUAAAGUUUGCAAACAUCAGGCUGCUUGUUCAGAACAGUUCCUCUUGCAGUUACCUCAGAUAUUGGAAAAUAGCCCAGAAAAUAGGCACUGGCUUGCAAGUAUUGCACUUGGAAAUGAAAACGUACCACCCUUGGAUUUCUUUGUUACCUUGAAAGAAAACUCUGAAUCAG